CUAAUUUGUAAUAAUUACAUAUUAGUCCAAUUAUCAACAUAUUGACAAUUAGGUCCUCUCGCGAUUCAAAAUUCACGAUCCAGCUAUUUGAUCGUCGUAACCUCUUAUGUGUGUGACCCCAUAAGUUCUAUUCUAUCUGGUAGUGAGAUAUUUUCUGAUCACUAUCAACAAUAUCACUGAAACUCCUUUCAGCGGAUUGAAAUAAUUUCAUAUUUGCCCAAUGA
rnacentral:lncRNA from 1 species